rnacentral:rRNA from 14 species
UGUUGGGUUAAGUCCCGCAACGAGCGCAACCCUCGUCCACUGUUGCCAGCAAUUCGGUUGGGGACUCAGUGGAGACCGCCGGGGUCAACUCGGAGGAAGGUGGGGAUGACGUCAAGUCAUCAUGCCCCUUAUGUCCAGGGCUUCACGCAUGCUACAAUGGCCGGUACAAUGGGUUGCGAUACUGUGAGGUGGAGCUAAUCCCAAAAAGCCGGUCUCAGUUCGGAUUGGGGUCUGCAACUCGACCCCAUGAAGUCGGAGUCGCUAGUAAUCGCAGAUCAGCAAUGCUGCGGUGAAUACGUUCCCGGGCCU